AACGCUAGCUACAGGCUUAACACAUGCAAGUCGAGGGGAAACGAUAUUGGAAGCUUGCUUCCGAUAGGCGUCGACCGGCGCACGGGUGAGUAACGCGUAUCCAACCUGCCCAUCACUUGGGAAUAACCUUGCGAAAGUAAGACUAAUGCCCAAUGACAUUUAUAGAAGGCAUCUGAAAUGAAUUAAAGAUUUAUCGGUGAUGGAUGGGGAUGCGUCUGAUUAGCUUGUUGGCGGGGUAACGGCCCACCAAGGCGACGAUCAGUAGGGGUUCUGAGAGGAAGGUCCCCCACAUUGGAACUGAGACACGGUCCAAACUCCUACGGGAGGCAGCAGUGAGGAAUAUUGGUCAAUGGGCGAGAGCCUGAACCAGCCAAGUAGCGUGCAGGACGACGGCCCUAUGGGUUGUAAACUGCUUUUAUGCGGGGAUAAAGUGAGGGACGUGUCCCUUUUUGCAGGUACCGCAUGAAUAAGGACCGGCUAACUCCGUGCCAGCAGCCGCGGUAAUACGGAAGGUCCAGGCGUUAUCCGGAUUUAUUGGGUUUAAAGGGAGCGUAGGCCGCCCCUUAAGCGUGUUGUGAAAUGCCGCGGCUCAACCGUGGCACUGCAGCGCGAACUGGGGGGCUUGAGUGCACGCAACGCAGGCGGAAUUCGUGGUGUAGCGGUGAAAUGCUUAGAUAUCACGAAGAACUCCGAUUG
rnacentral:rRNA from 2 species